GCAAGUCUAUUUGAAGCACCUUCGGGUGUGGAGGAUGGCGGACGGGUGAGUAACGCGUAAGGAACUUGUCUUUUGGACUGGGACAACUGUUGGAAACGAUAGCUAAUACCGGAUAUUAUGAGAUUCUCGCAUGGGGAACUUAUGAAAGCUAUAUGCACCAAAAGAGAGCCUUGCGUUCCAUUAGCUAGUUGGUGGGGUAAAGGCCUACCAAGGCGACGAUGGAUAGUCGGCCUGAGAGGGUGAAC
rnacentral:rRNA from 1 species